CUACGGGAUGCACCAGUCGGGAAACUUCUACAAUGCACGCAAGUGUGAUAGAGCAAGCCAGAGUGAUUCUCUAUAAUUGAGAAUCUUUUCUGAUAUGUAAAAAGUAUCAGGAAUAAGGACUGGGAAAGACUGGUGCCAGCCGCCGCGGUAAUACCAGCAGUCCAAGUGGCAGCCACUUUUAUUGGGUCUAAAACAUCCGUAGCUUGUUUUGUAAGUCUCUUGUGAAAUAUGAUGUCUUAAGCAUCGUGCGUGCAAGAGAUACUGCUCUACUAGAGACCGGGAGACGUAAGGAGUACGCACAGGGUAGCGGUAAAAUGCGUUGAUCCUAUGUGGACUAACGAUAGCGAAGGCACCUUACGAGGACGGAUCUGACAGUCAGGGAUGAAGGCUAGGGUCGCAAAACGGAUUAGAUACCCCUGUAGUC
rnacentral:rRNA from 1 species